rnacentral:rRNA from 1 species
GUGGGGAAUUUUUGACAAUGGGCGCAAGCCUGAUCCAGCAAUGCCGCGUGCAGGAAGAAGGCCUUCGGGUUGUAAACUGCUUUUGUACGGAACGAAACGGUCCGGGUUAAUACCCUGGGCUAAUGACGGUACCGUAAGAAUAAGCACCGGCUAACUACGUGCCAGCAGCCGCGGUAAUACGUAGGGUGCAAGCGUUAAUCGGAAUUACUGGGCGUAAAGCGUGCGCAGGCGGUUUUGUAAGACAGGCGUGAAAUCCCCGGGCUCAACCUGGGAAUUGCGCUUGUGACUGCAAGGCUGGAGUGCGGCAGAGGGGGAUGGAAGUCCGCGUGUAGCAGUGAAAUGCGUAGAUAUGCGGAGGAACACCGAUGGCGAAGGCAAUCCCCUGGGCCUGCACUGACGCUCAUGCACGAAAGCGUGGGGAGCAAACAGGAUUAGAUACCCGGGUAGUCC